UUGACUAAACUUUGAUCCGCACAGCUCGGCAACCUUCGGAAGGCUUGUUCUGCAAGCAUCCAUUUUGCUUUGUAUGUGUAGGUUUGCAAAUGCUCGUAAAAAUGGCAGAUCUGAGCCCCAGCAUCUAAAUCUCUCCUUUUCGUUGUUUAGAACUAACAAUUUUUUACCCCUAGCUUGCUCUUGUUUAAAGAAUUUCUGUUUGCUAAAUUGCCUCUUGCAACAAGGUGGUUAGUUGAUAAGAAGAAAAAUGUUCCUUUAUGUCAAUGUAUGUUUGAAGUUUAGUGUUGAUAAUUACACCACAGUUGGAGGGGGUUUGGCAUAUCUUUGUAUUUAAAUAUGGCCAGCAGGAAGUGUAGUUUUUAACAGAGUAUUAGACCUACCUGGCAGGAACCUUGGAUGGCCUGCUUAUAUGCUGGCAACCAAUUUUUGCUGCUGUAAGCUGGAGUUUGUACCCAGAGGCAAAAUACUCUGAGCCCUUCAAUGAGGGAUGGGCGGACGGAUGGAUGGACGGGUACAUCGCUAAGGUGAUGUGAAAGAGAGAACCCUGCGUUGGGGACAAGCAGAAAUGCAGGGAUGCUCCGCUCCCUUCUUCCUGUAAGCCCCUCUGUCUCCUACUCUCUUCCGCCCCAAAAGAAGGGAAAGAAAAAAAGAAAGAAAAAAGAAAGUCAUUUGUCUCGUUUUCUUUCUCUUCCUUUCCUUAAGAAAAGUGUUUUUAGGUUAGACAGGGAAUGUGGUAAUGGCAGGGCAGUUCUGGACGGUUUGCUCUUCUGCAGGCUACUGAGCUGCAGCCAUUACUCCGGAAAUGCAUUGGUGGGAGUGACGACGGUCAUUCAUAAUGAUGAUGAUGAUGAUGAGGAUGAUGAGGAUGAUAACCUUUGUAGGGGCUUCAUCUUCCUCUUGAUACCUCACCUAUCUUCUUGAUACCUCACCUAUUUCUUGAUCCUCGUUAAAGCAGCUAUCAUUUCCUCCUACUUCCCUUCUUAAUGCCCUAUUGUUGUUGUUGUUGUUGUUGUUGUUGUUGUUGUCAUUAUUAUUAUUAUUAUUAUUGUGGUGGUGGUGGUGGUGGGGGUUGGAUGGAGUCUACCAUCUCCCUGCCCCUUCGUAAAAGGGGAAGCUUUCGUUUCUUGGGGUUGACCGAGCCCACACAUAUAUAUGUGUGCGCGCGCGCGUGCGCUUUUAGAAGCAUAUACUUUGAACUUUGGACCCUUGGAUCCCUAGGGUUUACUAGUUAGUGAUGGUUAUAGUACGGAUCCAAGGGCUCAAAAGUUUAAGUUGUAACUUCUCAAAGCAGCAUAAGCUCUAUUCUAUAUAUAUAUAUAUGCACACACACUGUUGGUGUUUGAGGGUUUGAAAAAAAAAAAAAAAACCAGCAGGAACAAUUCUAGAUGAGGGCUAAAGUUUCAGCAGAAGGUGGAUGGCAUGGUUAUCUUGGAAGGCUCUGCUGUUCUGCAGGCAACCAUUAUUCUAUGUACGAGAAGAGAUAUCUAUUCCUUUUUCUCAUGCAAUACUCUGUUUGGUGCCAAAUCAUUAUAGAAUUGAAUAUAUUUGCAAUUCCAUGAGGGCAUUUGUGUUGCGGAAAAUGCAGACUAUGGCAAAUCUGACCACAAACCAGAGAAUUUGCUUUAUCGGAAAUAAAUUUGAAGUACACCUGCUAAUGUCUCCAAGGAUGAACCAGUUCUUCUUGGCAAUUUCAUCCAAACCAGUGAUUUGGAGGAUUCCAAACAGGGAAUGAAUGAGGCUUCGAUGAUUGCCAAUCUGGUUGCCCACAGUUUGCCCUUGCCGUUACUUCUUUACCAUUGUACAGUGUAAACGGCUCUUUUAAUAUCAGUUCUUCAGUAAAUUGGAUGGUCUGCUAAUUUAGCAGGCAACCUUUGAAGCUUUUGAUGGGUCUCUUGCCAUGUUAUCAAUCACAGUACUUCUACAAAUCGGAAGUCACAACAAAUUAAAGUUUCAGGACCAAAGUGUCACCCGCCUUAUUGUUUGAGGACCAAAUGUGUAAUUUAGCCUUAUUUUAACUUACAAAGCACCCAGAACAAAAAGAAAGCACCGGAUUUUUUUCUUUUUUUCUAGAGAAGCUUUCAAUGGCUUGCGAUGCACCUGGUGUAGGCAAUAAUUUUCCUAUCUCAGCUGCUCAUUAGGGCAACUUUGCGGGAUACCUGUAGCAGAACUCAAUUGGAAGGUCUGCUGUUGCAGGCAACCUUGUUCUAUCAUAUGUCUGUAAGGUGCGCAUGGCAACAUAAUGCUGAUCGAAUGGCAGGUCGGAGCCUCUUUCCUUCUUCUCUCUUUUCAACUCUCAGUAUUUCUCAUGCUGACUGUACGAAUGUCCUCAUGUUGACUGUAUGUUUCAAUCAGAUGCGCCCUUAAUGUUUCAUGCUAUGUCAAAGAAGUGUUUCUCCUUCAUUUUAGUUGUCAAUGGAGGCUGUGAUGAUUGCCAGCUGGGAAUGCUCCUCAACUUCUUUUAUCCUUGCUUUUGACUCUUGGCGGAGUAAAGAAGCUGAUCGAAAUACUGGAUAUCAGAGGGAAUACAGUCAGCUCAAACCAAACAUGUUUGUUGGGUUUUGACAAUUCUGGUGGGAUUUGAAUCUGUUUUGUUGGUUUUCUUGGUCCUUUUACGCUCCUUGACAGCCCUUUGCUUCGUUCAUUUGGGUGGUCUUGGCUGACAUGAUUCACCAGUAGGCGCAUGGCAUGGAAUUCUUGGAAGGCACUACUCUUCUACAGGCAACCAUUUUUCCAUGUGAGGUCUUGGAUGUACAAGAAGAUAUAUCUACUCCUUUUCUAAUGUAAUACUCUGUUUGGCACCAAAUUGUUAUAUAAGUGAGUAUAUUUGCAAUCCUGUGAGGGCAUUUUUGGAGCAAAAAUGCAAAUUAUGGUAGAUCCGACCACAAACCAGUGGAUCUGCCUAGAAUUGCUGCAAUCAUUUGAAACCAUCGGAAAUCAAUUCAAUCCACACCUGCAAAUGUUUCCAGGGAUUAAUGAGUUCCUGUUUGCAAUUUCGUUCAAAUCAGUGAUUCAAAGGAUUCUAAACAGGGUGUAAAGGUGGCGGUGAUGGUUGCCAACCUGGGUGCCAACGGUUUGUCCAAGCCGUUUCUUCUUUGCCGAGUGUACAACGUAAACAGCUCUUUUAGUAUCAGUUCUCCUUUGGUAAAUUGGAAGGUCUGCUAAUUUAGCAGGCAACCUUUACCACCAUAUAUUAUAAUGGUGCAAGAAUUAUAUGAUGCCUUUUUAAUAAAGUGGGGGAAAUGGUUGAGAACAAACUAAUUGAGGCUUUAGGUGGGUCUCUUGUGAUGUCAUCAACAGCAAUACUGCCACAUUACUGCUACAUAUGUGAGACAUCACCAUCCGCUCAACUAAAUUGGCCUGUGAGAUUUGAUUGCAGCGGUUAAGAAAGUUCGAGACAGAAAUUGUAGCAACUAUAGUUUGAGGGCCAAAGUGUUACCUGCCUCAUAGUUUGAGAACCAAAAGUGUAAUUUAUCCUUAUUUUAGAUAACAAACCACUGAGGGUGAAAAGACAGCGUUUUUCUAGGAACUGGCUCCUGUGAUGCACCAGGUGCAGGCAAUAGUUUUCCUCUCUAUGCUACGUGUGGCAGCACUCAAUUGGAAGAUACGCUGUUUUGCAGGCAACCUUGUUCCUUUGUCUUUAAGGUGCAUAAGACUACAUGAUGCCUCUUGAUAUGUUCGAAUAGCAGGUCAGAGCCUCCCUUUCUUGCUUUCUUUUCAGCUAAAAUAUAUCUCAUGCUGACUGUCCAUAUGUCCUCAUGCUGACUGUCCAAAUGUCCUCAUGCUGACUGUAUGCUUCAAUUGGACAGACCCUUAAUGUCUUGUGCAAUGGUAAGGAAAUGUUUCUCCUUCAUUUUACUUGCUAAAGUAUGCUAUGAUGAUUGCCAAUUGGGAAGGCACCUCAACUUAUUUUAUCCUGCCUUUUGACUCUCUGUAGAGUGCAAAAGCUUAUUGAAAUGCUAGAUUUAAGAGGCAAUAUAGUCAGGUCAAACCAACGAUCUUGAUUGGGUUUUGAUAAUUCGAGUGGCAUCUGAAUCUAGUGGUUGGUUAGCUUGGUGCUUCUACACCCCUUGAGAGCCAGUCGCACGCUUGUAUGCUGAUUCAUAUGUGGAUAUCCAAGCAUGCAUCUCUCUUUCUCUCUCUCUCUCUGUCACGCCCCGGUUCCUUGGAGGGUCACCCAUUCUAGAAUUACUCUAGCCCUAUGUUUGCUCAACCCUCUUAACUUCUUGGGCUUAGCCACUGCUCAAAAUGCUAUAGCUAGGUUUAGAUGUUUAUACCUUAUAUAUAGAACUUCCAAAAUGCUAUAGCUACUCUAGAACUACUCUAGCCCUAUGUUUGCUCAACCCUCUUAACUUCUUGGGCUUAGCCACUGCUCAAAAUGCUAUAGCUAGGUUUAGACGUUUAUACCUUAUAUAUAGAACUUCCAAAUCCUAGGGGUGUCACAUUCUCCUCUCGGUUACCCCCUUCCCUUUUUUAGGCUCUGACGUCCUCGUUAGGCUCAAACACACUCACAAGAACCGUCGAUGUGAGACUCGUCUUGCUAGCUUUAGCUAACCUUGUGGGGAGCCGCGUUCCACCCACAACGGCCAGGAGAGCUGUGCUUUUGCUCGUUUUAUGACUCUAGCUCAGCCAAGGCUCACCUGACACUUAUGGUUGGUGAUUUGCUUCGAUACCAACUGUGACGCCCCGCUUCCCAGAGGGGUCAUCCAUCUAAGAACUACUCUAGCCUUAGGCUCGCUCAAUCCUCUUAACUUCUGGGCCUAGUCACUGCUCAAAAUGCUAUAGCGGGGUUAAAAGGUUUAGCCCUACUAUAUCUUAUAUAUAGAACUAUUCCAAUCCUGAGAGUCUCUGUCUCUCUCCCCCUCUCCCCCCUCUCCUUAGGGAUGUCAAUAGGUAUGGAUACCCGAAAUUUUAUCCAAAUCCGAACUCGAAUAAAAUGGAUAUAUUCGAUGUUAAAUGGAUAUGGAUUUGGAUAUGGAUAUCAAAAAU